rnacentral:rRNA from 1 species
UUGAACGCUGGCGGCAUUGCUUAACACAUGCAAGUCGAACGGUAACAGGUCUAGCUUGCUAGAUGCUGACGAGUGGCGGACGGGUGAGUAACGCGUGGGAAUCUGCCUUCUAGUGGGGGAUAGCCCGGAGAAAUCCGGAUUAAUACCGCAUACGCCCUACGGGGGAAAGCCGGGGAUCUUCGGACCUGGCGCUAGUAGAUGAGCCCGCGUGAGAUUAGCUUGUUGGUGGGGUAAUGGCCUACCAAGGCAACGAUCUCUAGCUGGUCUGAGAGGACGAUCAGCCACACUGGGACUGAGACACGGCCCAGACUCCUACGGGAGGCAGCAGUGGGGAAUAUUGGACAAUGGGCGAAAGCCUGAUCCAGCAAUGCCGCGUGUGUGAAGAAGGCCUGAGGGUUGUAAAGCACUUUCAAUCGUGAAGAAAAGUUGCAGGCUAAUACCCUGUGACCUUGACGUUAACGAUACAAGAAGCACCGGCUAACUCCGUG